rnacentral:rRNA from 1 species
GAUGAACGCUGGCGGCGUGCCUAAUACAUGCAAGUCGAGCGAACAGACCAGGAGCUUGCUCCUCUGACGUUAGCGGCGGACGGGUGAGUAACACGUGGAUAACCUACCUAUAAGACUGGGAUAACUUCGGGAAACCGGAGCUAAUACCGGAUAAUAUAUUGAACUGCAUGGUUCAAUAGUUGAAGACGGUUUUUCUUUCACUUAUAGAUGGAUACGGGCCGCAUUAUCUACUUGGUAAGGUGACGGGUUACCAAGGCAACGAGGGGUAGCCGACCUGAGGGGGAGAUCGGCCACACUGGAACUGAGACACGGUCCCGACUCCGACGGGAGGAAGCGGUAGGGAUUCUUCCGCAAUGGGUGAAAGCGGAACGGAGCAACGCCGCGGGAGGGAUGAAGGUCUUCGGAUCGGAGAGCUCUGUUAUUAGGGAAGAAGAAAUGUGUAAGUACCUGUGCACGUCUUGACGGUACCGGAUCAGAAAGCCACGGCUAACUACGUG